AUCCGCAACGUAUAAUAUCUAAUAUCCUUCCAUCGAUAAUGGCACUUGUAUCUACAAUCUUAGGUGUCGCUCUUCGUAUAUUAUUAGACAUGGAACGUGCCAUAUUCUCUGGUAAAAACAUAAGCAUUUCAUCUCUUUUUUUCAGACCAAAUUGAAACCCUAAAUAACAUAAAAUAAUAGUGAUUAUCAUAGGUACAAAGUGAUUUAAUAUGGAAUUACCUAUCAUUUCUAAGAUAAAAGAAACCAUCACUGAAAUAAAUAAACCAAUAAUUAAACCAAUUGUAGCAAAUAAUAUUUCUACCGCACUACGUCUCAUGAUUAAUUGUUCAAAUUGUUUAAAAGCAUAUGUUACUUUAUUAAUGAACAAUCCAAAUAUUAUAAAAAAUAUAAUGAUCCCUAUGAAACCAUCUACAUAAUAAUUAGUGAUAGGGCGUUGAGUAUUUGGUCGUAGACCCGAAACCAGGUGAUCUACCCUUGGUCAGGUUGAAGUUCAGGUAACACUGAAUGGAGGACCGAACCGACUUACGUUGAAAAGUGAGCGGAUGAACUGAGGGUAGCGGAGAAAUUCCAAUCGAACUUGGAGAUAGCUGGUUCUCUCCGAAAUAGCUUUAGGGCUAGCCUCAAGUGAUGAUUAUUGGAGGUAGAGCACUGUUUGGACGAGGGGCCCCUCUCGGGUUACCGAAUUCAGACAAACUCCGAAUGCCAAUUAAUUUAACUUGGGAGUCAGAACAUGGGUGAUAAGGUCCGUGUUCGAAAGGGAAACAGCCCAGACCACCAGCUAAGGUCCCAAAAUAUAUGUUAAGUGGAAAAGGAUGUGGCGUUGCCCAGACAACUAGGAUGUUGGCUUAGAAGCAGCCAUCAUUUAAAGAGUGCGUAAUAGCUCACUAGUCGAGUGACACUGCGCCGAAAAUGUACCGGGGCUAAACAUAUUACCGAAGCUGUGGAUUGUCCUUUGGACAAUGGUAGGAGAGCGUUCUAAGGGCGUCGAAGCAUGAUCGCAAGGACAUGUGGAGCGCUUAGAAGUGAGAAUGCCGGUGUGAGUAGCGAAAGACGGGUGAGAAUCCCGUCCACCGAUUGACUAAGGUUUCCAGAGGAAGGCUCGUCCGCUCUGGGUUAGUCGGGUCCUAAGCUGAGGCCGACAGGCGUAGGCGAUGGAUAACAGGUUGAUAUUCCUGUACCACCUAGUAUCGUUUUAAUCGAUGGGGGGACGCAGUAGGAUAGGCGAAGCGUGCUGUUGGAGUGCACGUCCAAGCAGUAAGGCUGAGUGUUAGGCAAAUCCGGCACUCAUAAGGCUGAGCUGUGAUGGGGAGAGGAAAUUGUUUCCUCGAGUCGUUGAUUUCACACUGCCGAGAAAAGCCUCUAGAUAGAUAACAGGUGCCCGUACCGCAAACCGACACAGGUAGUCAAGAUGAGAAUUCUAAGGUGAGCGAGCGAACUCUCGUUAAGGAACUCGGCAAAAUGACCCCGUAACUUCGGGAGAAGGGGUGCUCUUUAGGGUUCACGCCCAGAAGAGCCGCAGUGAAUAGGCCCAAGCGACUGUUUAUCAAAAACACAGGUCUCUGCUAAACCGUAAGGUGAUGUAUAGGGGCUGACGCCUGCCCGGUGCUGGAAGGUUAAGAGGAGUGGUUAGCUUCUGCGAAGCUACGAAUCGAAGCCCCAGUAAACGGCGGCCGUAACUAUAACGGUCCUAAGGUAGCGAAAUUCCUUGUCGGGUAAGUUCCGACCCGCACGAAAGGCGUAACGAUUUGGGCACUGUCUCAACGAGAGACUCGGUGAAAUCAUAGUACCUGUGAAGAUGCAGGUUACCCGCGACAGGACGGAAAGACCCCGUGGAGCUUUACUGUAGCCUGAUAUUGAAAUUCGGCACAGCUUGUACAGGAUAGGUAGGAGCCUUUGAAACGUGAGCGCUAGCUUACGUGGAGGCGUUGGUGGGAUACUACCCUAGCUGUGUUGGCUUUCUAACCCGCACCACUUAUCGUGGUGGGAGACAGUGUCAGGCGGGCAGUUUGACUGGGGCGGUCGCCUCCUAAAAGGUAACGGAGGCGCUCAAAGGUUCCCUCAGAAUGGUUGGAAAUCAUUCAUAGAGUGUAAAGGCAUAAGGGAGCUUGACUGCGAGACCUACAAGUCGAGCAGGGUCGAAAGACGGACUUAGUGAUCCGGUGGUUCCGCAUGGAAGGGCCAUCGCUCAACGGAUAAAAGCUACCCCGGGGAUAACAGGCUUAUCUCCCCCAAGAGUUCACAUCGACGGGGAGGUUUGGCACCUCGAUGUCGGCUCAUCGCAUCCUGGGGCUGUAGUCGGUCCCAAGGGUUGGGCUGUUCGCCCAUUAAAGCGGUACGCGAGCUGGGUUCAGAACGUCGUGAGACAGUUCGGUCCCUAUCCG
rnacentral:rRNA from 3 species